AGUGAACGCUGGCGGUAGGCCUAACACAUGCAAGUCGAACGGCAGCACAGUAAGAGCUUGCUCUUACGGGUGGCGAGUGGCGGACGGGUGAGGAAUACAUCGGAAUCUACUUUUUCGUGGGGGAUAAUGUAGGGAAACUUACGCUAAUACCGCAUACGACCUACGGGUGAAAGCAGGGGAUCUUCGGACCUUGCGCGAUUGAAUGAGCCGAUGUCGGAUUGGCUAGUUGGCGGGGUAAAGGCCCACCAAGGCGACGAUCCGUAGCUGGUCUGAGAGGAUGAUCAGCCACACUGGAACUGAGACACGGUCCAGACUCCUACGGGAGGCGGCAGUGGGGAAUAUUGGACAAUGGGCGCAAGCCUGAUCCAGCCAUACCGCGUGGGUGAAGAAGGCCUUCGGGUUGUAAAGCCCUUUUGUUGGGAAAGAAAAGCAGCAGGUUAAUACCCCGCUGUUCUGACGGUACCCAAAGAAUAAGCACCGGCUAACUUCGUG
rnacentral:rRNA from 1 species